AUGGGGACCGUGGCACUGCUUCUGCGAGGCGAGUUUGCGACUAGCAAGGCCGCGAGGGUCAGUAUGCUAUACGCAGAUGGUGGCAAAGAAAAGCAAGUGCGUACUAUAAUGAAAGAUCAUCUUUAUGCCUAUCUGGUUAAUAUACAUGAUAAAUUAUGGAUCGGUCAUCCAUCUGGUGACACUUUAGCAGCUAAACAAGGAGUGUCUAUCAACAAAAUUCCACCACCUCCAGUUCCACCAAGUGCUUGUUCGGCUGCUCUUGUAGAUUUUGGAAACAAGCACAGAACUGCAAACUUUGUAUUCUGCUAG
rnacentral:rRNA from 1 species